CGCCUCUUGCAAAUUUUCAAAGAAUAAGAGGUCCCGCCUGCCCUGUGACUAUAUGUUUAACGGCCGCGGUAUUUUGACCGUGCGAAGGUAGCGCAAUCACUUGCCUUUUAAAUGGAGGCCCGUAUGAAUGGCACCACGAGGGCUUGACUGUCUCCUUUUUCAAGUCAAUGAAAUUGAUCUCCCCGUGCAGAAGCGGGGAUACCCCCAUAAGACGAGAAGACCCUAUGGAGCUUAAGACACAAGGUAGCCCAUGUUAAGCACCCCCUAACAACGGACUAAACCAGGCGGACCCUACCCCACUGUCUUUGGUUGGGGCGACCGCGGGGUACGAUAAAACCCCCACGUGGAUUGGGAGUAACCCUCCUACAACUAAGAGCUCCCGCUCUAGAAAACAGAAAUUCUGACCAACAAGAUCCGGCAAGGCCGAUCAACGGAACGAGUUACCCUAGGGAUAACAGCGCAAUCCCCUUUUAGAGUCCAUAUCGACAAGGGGGUUUACGACCUCGAUGUUGGAUCAGGACAUCCUAAUGGUGCAGCCGCUAUUAAGGGUUCGUUUGUUCAACGAUUAAAGUCCU
rnacentral:rRNA from 1 species